AUGGCCUCCUCAAGCUCUGCUGUCGCCGCGCCUGCCCUCAUCCCCAUAGCCGACCGACUCCAUCGCUCCAACUUUCUGGUAUGGCGCGCGCAAGCCAUGGCAGCCAUCCGUGGGGCGCAGCUCGUCUCCUACCUUGAUCCAGAUCGGGAGCAGCCGGAGCAGAAGCUCCACGACAAGGACGGCAAGCCCACGGACGUGCCCAACCCUGCAUACGACAUCGCAAGGCUCGAGAUUCUCAGCUUUGAAAGCAAGUUGGCCAUGUUUGAAGGCGGAGGGCAGUCCUCCCACUCCUCUGCCAAUGCCGUGUCUCACGGCGGACGCGGUGGAUCCAACCGUGGCGGUGGCCGCGGUGGCAACGGUGGCCGCAAUGGAGGCGGCCAUGGCAACGGCGGCGGCGGUCGUGGUCGCGGCGGCGGCCGCGGCGGCGGCCGCGGCAAUGGAGGAGGCCGCAACGAUCUGCCUGAGGUCUUCUGCCAAAUCUGCACCAAGCCAAAUCACACGACCAUGGAGUGCUAUCGUCGCUUUGACAUCUCCUUCAACAAGGAGAAAAGUGCAGCAGCCGUCAACACCAAAUCCUCCUACGGGGCAUACGCUUCAAGCCAUCUUUCAGACGGGAGCGAGUGCACUGUCAUGCCAGACCUCUCAAUUCAACGUAGCAUUAGGAUCAUGAAGAUGUCAGGUUUUUCCUACCACCAUUCUGUUCAUGAAGGGAAAAAAUAUACUCAUCUUUUGCGACGACAAGGCAGGUAA
rnacentral:rRNA from 1 species